UACGGGGGGGGCAAGCGUUGUUCGGAAUUACUGGGCGUAAAGGGCUCGUAGGCGGCCAACUAAGUCAGACGUGAAAUCCCUCGGCUUAACCGGGGAACUGCGUCUGAUACUGGAUGGCUUGAGUUCGGGAGAGGGAUGCGGAAUUCCAGGUGUAGCGGUGAAAUGCGUAGAUAUCGGGAAGAACACCAGUGGCGAAGGCGACGUGCUGGGUUGCACCUGACGCUGAGAUGCGAAAGUGUGGGGAGCAAACGGG
rnacentral:rRNA from 1 species